GUGCCAGCAGCCGCGGUAAUACGGAGGGUGCGAGCGUUAAUCGGAAUUAUUGGGCGUAAAGGGUGCGUAGGUGGUUUAUUAAGUUAGCUGUGAAAUUCCUGGGCUUAACCUGGGCAGGUCAGCUAAGACUGGUAGACUGGAGUAUAGGAGAGGGUAGUGGAAUUUCCGGUGUAGCGGUGAAAUGCGUAGAGAUCGGAAGGAACACCAGUGGCGAAGGCGGCUACCUGGCCUGAUACUGACACUGAGGCACGAAAGCGUGGGGAGCAAACAGGAUUAGAUACCCUAGUAGUCC
rnacentral:rRNA from 1 species